rnacentral:rRNA from 1 species
GGGGAAUUUUCCGCAAUGGGCGCAAGCCUGACGGAGCAAUACCGCGUGAGGGAAGAAGGCUUUUGGGUUGUAAACCUCUUUUCUCAGGGAAGAAGCAAUGACGGUACCUGAGGAAUCAGCAUCGGCUAACUCCGUGCCAGCAGCCGCGGUAAUACGGAGGAUGCAAGCGUUAUCCGGAAUUAUUGGGCGUAAAGCGUCCGCAGGUGGCUAGUCAAGUCUGCGGUCAAAGACAGAAGCUAAACUUCUGGAAGGCCGUGGAAACGGGCAAGCUAGAGUACGGUAGGGGUAGAGGGAAUUCCCAGUGUAGCGGUGAAAUGCGUAGAGAUUGGGAAGAACACCAGUGGCGAAAGCGCUCUACUGGGCCUGUACUGACACUGAGGGACGAAAGCUAGGGGAGCGAAAGGGAUUAGAUACCCCUGUAGUC